rnacentral:rRNA from 1 species
UACGUAGGGGGCAAGCGUUAUCCGGAAUUAUUGGGCGUAAAGAGUACGUAGGUGGUUACCUAAGCACGAGGUAUAAGGCAAUGGCUCAACCAUUGUUCGCCUUGUGAACUGGGUUGCUUGAGUGCAGGAGAGGAAAGCGGAAUUCCUAGUGUAGCGGUGAAAUGCGUAGAUAUUAGGAGGAACACCAGUGGCGAAGGCGGCUUUCUGGACUGUAACUGACACUGAGGUACGAAAGCGUGGGGAGCAAACAGG